UACGAAGGGGACUAGCGUUGUUCGGAAUUACUGGGCGUAAAGCGCACGUAGGCGGAUUUGUUAGUCAGGGGUGAAAUCCCGGGGCUCAACCUCGGAACUGCCUUUGAUACAGCAAGUCUUGAGUUCGAGAGAGGUGGGUGGAAUUCCUAGUGUAGAGGUGAAAUUCGUAGAUAUUAGGAAGAACACCGGUGGCGAAGGCGGCCCACUGGCUCGACACUGACGCUGAGGUGCGAAAGCGUGGGGAGCAAACAGG
rnacentral:rRNA from 1 species